rnacentral:rRNA from 1 species
AGUGAACGCUGGCGGUAGGCCUAACACAUGCAAGUCGAACGGCAGCACAGUAAGAGCUUGCUCUUACGGGUGGCGAGUGGCGGACGGGUGAGGAAUACAUCGGAAUCUACUUUUUCGUGGGGGAUAACGUAGGGAAACUUACGCUAAUACCGCAUACGACCUACGGGUGAAAGCAGGGGAUCUUCGGACCUUGCGCGAUUGAAUGAGCCGAUGUCGGAUUAGCUAGUUGGCGGGGUAAAGGCCCACCAAGGCGACGAUCCGUAGCUGGUCUGAGAGGAUGAGCAGCCGCACUGGGACUGAGACACGGUCCAGAGUCCUAGGGGAGGCAGCAGUGGGGAAUAUUGGGCAAUGGGCGCAAGCCUGAUCCAGCCAUGCCGAGUGGGUGAAGAGGGCCUUCGGGUUGUAAAGCCCUUUUGUUGGGAAAGAAAAGCAUCAGGUUAAUACCCCGCUGUUCUGACGGUACCCAAAGAAUGAGCACCGGCUAACUUCGUG